rnacentral:lncRNA from 7 species
CAGGUGGCGGGGGAGCCAGUCGCGGCGCGACGCGUUGUCACGGGGGGCUCGGCGCCGGCGGCCAUCGGGACGCGGGCGAUGCGAGGUGAGGCCGGCACGUGAUGGCGGUCGGCCUCGGCCGCCCGCCCGUGGGCCGAGACGGCCAGACGCGAAAGGAAAAUGGCCGGUCAAAUCGUCGAGCGGAGCACCGGCGGGCGGCGGCGUCAGAGGCCCCCCUUCUGCACCGGACCCAAUUUUAAUCUUAACGAACCCAUCACUCCCGGUGUUACAGUUGUACACGCCGCGCUUAAGUACUACUACUACUCACUCGCGAAGGAACUUAGCUUAAGUAAUGAACAGGGACGACGAUGGCGUAGGACAUUCAUGUCGAACCGGACCGCGUAGUGCGAGAUAUGGCUAAAGACAGUCCCUGAUGUCUGUGUUCUCUGCUGUGCAGAGCUAGCGCUUCUAUCAAAUGCUCCUUUACGUCAGUUUUUUUCUUGAAUUCAAAUUAAAGUUUUGCAUUACUGACUCACAUCCUCUACCGCCGCUCCGAUUCUCGCUAUGGCAACAACAAAAAAAACUAAAAACACACAGCUUUCAAC